ACGGAAGGCAGCAGUGGGGAAUAUUGCACAAUGGGCGAAAGCCUGAUGCAGCGACGCCGCGUGAGUGAAGAAGUAUCUCGGUAUGUAAAGCUCUAUCAGCAGGGAAGAAAAUGACGGUACCUGACUAAGAAGCCCCGGCUAACUACGUGCCAGCAGCCGCGGUAAUACGUAGGGGGCAAGCGUUAUCCGGAUUUACUGGGUGUAAAGGGAGCGUAGACGGUUUGGCAAGUCUGAAGUGAAAUGCGGGGGCUCAACUCCUGAACUGCUUUGGAAACUGUCGAACUAGAGUGCAGGAGAGGUAAGUGGAAUUCCUAGUGUAGCGGUGAAAUGCGUAGAUAUUAGGAGGAACACCAGUGGCGAAGGCGGCUUACUGGAUUGUAACUGACGUUGAGGCUCGAAAGCGUGGGGAGCAAACAGGAUUAGAUACCCUGGUA
rnacentral:rRNA from 1 species